UACAGAGGUCUCGAGCGUUGUUCGGAUUCAUUGGGCGUAAAGGGUGCGUAGGUGGCGCUGUAAGUCGGGUGUGAAAUCCUGAGGCUUAACCUCGGAACUGCAUUCGAUACUGCGGCGCUUGAGGACUGGAGAGGAGACUGGAAUUCAUGGUGUAGCAGUGAAAUGCGUAGAGAUCAUGAGGAAGACCAGUGGCGAAGGCGGGUCUCUGGACAGUUCCUGACACUGAGGCACGAAGGCCCAGGGGAGCAAACGGGG
rnacentral:rRNA from 1 species